CCUACGGGGGGCAGCAGUGAGGAAUAUUGGUCAAUGGACGAGAGUCUGAACCAGCCACGCCGCGUGAAGGAUGACUGCCCUAUGGGUUGUAAACUUCUUUUAUAAAGGAAUAAAACGAGGCACGUGUGCCUUUUUGCAUGUACUUUAUGCAUAAGGAUCGGCUAACUCCGUGCCAGCAGCCGCGGUAAUACGGAGGAUCCGAGCGUUAUCCGGAUUUAAUGGGUUUAAAGGGAGCGUAGAUGGGUUGGUAAGUCAGUUGUGAAAGUUUGCGGCUCAACCGUAAAAUUGCAUUUGAUACUGGCAGUCUUGAGUACAGUAGAGGUAGGCGGAAUUCGUGGUGUAGCGGUGAAAUGCGUAGAUAUCACGAAGAACCCCGGUUGCGAAGGCAGCUUACUAGACUGUGACUGACAUUGAGGCUCGAAAGUGUGGGUAUCAAACAGGAUUAGAUACCCCUGUAGUC
rnacentral:rRNA from 1 species